CUACGGGAGGCACCAGUGGGGAAUAUUGGACAAUGGGGGAAACCCUGAUCCAGCAAUGCCGCGUGUGUGAAGAAGGCCUGCGGGUUGUAAGGCACUUUCGGUUGGGAGGACUGCUUCUAGCACUAAUAUUGUUGGAAGUUGACGUUACCUUCAGAAGAAGCACCGGCUAACUCCGUGCCAGCAGCCGCGGUAAUAGGGAGGGUGCAAGCGUUAAUCGGAAUUACUGGGCGUAAAGCGCGCGUAGGCGGCUAGAUCAGUCGGGUGUGAAAGCCCCGGGCUUAACCUGGGAACUGCAUCCGAUACUGUCUAGCUUGAGUACAGGAGAGGAGAGUGGAAUUCCACAUGUAGCGGUGAAAUGCGUAGAUAUGUGGAGGGACACCAAUGGCGAAGGCAGCUCUCUGGCCUGAUACUGACGCUGAGGUGCGAAAGCGUGGGGAGCAAACAGGAUUAGAUACCCCUGUAGUC
rnacentral:rRNA from 1 species